CUGGUGGGUAGUUUGACUGGGGCGGUCUCCUCCCAAAGAGUAACGGAGGAGCACGAAGGUGGGCUAAACACGGUUGGACAUCGUGUGGUUAGUGCAAUGGCAUAAGCCCGCUUGACUGCGAGAAUGACAAUUCGAGCAGGUGCGAAAGCAGGUCAUAGUGAUCCGGUGGUUCUGAAUGGAAGGGCCAUCGCUCAACGGAUAAAAGGUACUCCGGGGAUAACAGGCUGAUACCGCCCAAGAGUUCAUAUCGACGGCGGUGUUUGGCACCUCGAUGUCGGCUCAUCACAUCCUGGGGCUGAAGUCGGUCCCAAGGGUAUGGCUGUUCGCCAUUUAAAGUGGUACGCGAGCUGGGUUUAGAACGUCGUGAGACAGUUCGGUCCCUAUCUGCCGUGGGCGUUGGAAAAUUGAAAGGGGCUGCUCCUAGUACGAGAGGACCGGAGUGGACGAACCUCUGGUGUUCGGGUUGUCAUGCCAAUGGCAUUGCCCGGUAGCUAAGUUCGGAAUCGAUAACCGCUGAAAGCAUCUAAGCGGGAAGCGAGCCUUGAGAUGAGUUUUCCCUGGCACUAUAAGUGUCCUAAAGGGUUGUCGUAGACUACGACGUUGAUAGGCAGGGUGU
rnacentral:rRNA from 1 species